rnacentral:misc_RNA from 1 species
ACACCUCAACUCUCAUGGUUUGCCGUGAUGAGCUUGGACUCUGGGGGAUUUGCUGGCCUGCGGUCAGCUCCCCUCAAAUGAAUCAGCUUUCCAGUGUUUGGUGGCAUCACGGGUGUGAUAAAUAUCUACGCUUGUGGGUUUCCUGCCAGGUAACCUUCAGUAAUGGGGGUUCGCUGGGGCUCAUAAAUGUCUCUCCUCAGUGAAGACAGCUUUGUGAAC